CCUGUCAGUAAAAUGGUCCGUCGGUGAUCCUUCUGUAAAUUCCAUCAGUAAUGUAUUGUAAAUCCGAUAUUGUUGUUUCAGCGGUCAGUUACCAAUGAAAUCAACAAUUGGUGAUGUUCCUUUGUUUGGUAGUGAGAAACAUGUCGUUUACAUACUCGGAGACAAUCCCAUGAAAAUGACCUAUGUGGUAGGAUUUAGUAACAACUACCCGUGUGCAGAAGGUGGUAAUACUAGCUUGAACUCCGAAAACCAAAUCCUAUUCAAAUUUUGGGAGUUAUGGUACGAGGACCCGACUGGAAUGACAUGUUCUUAGAUGAAAGCGAUAAACUGUAGUUUACUAAACCAGCCAUUUCAAGUAAUGCCGGUGUAGAUGCAAUGCUCGUAGCCCUCCACGGUCCUCCACAUUGGCUUUCAAGCCUGAUUGGUGCAGGUCUAUUAGGUAUAGAUAGUUCAUGCAUCUUUCAUAAUAUUCAUUUAAAUUCAAUAAUUGAUAACACAAUCUCAACGAUAAUUAUAUUCAUGUAAUGCGGAGUGUUUGGAAUGUUUGAUAGCAUUCCAAAAUA